CUAAGCCCAAGUCCUCUGGCUCAGAAACCUAUCUCACCAUCACUCCAUAAUUUCUCCCUCCUGUUGCUUGAGGUGCCAAAGUUCCAUUCAUGAAGUCCAACAUGGAACUUGCACAGGAUCACAUGCUGACCAGACCAGUGAAGUCAUAGAUGACUGGAAUCCUGUCUGAUCCUCCCUCCACACCUACACCUACCCACAAGCACUAACAGUGUCACGUGUAGAAGGCUCUUCAAAUUGAACUCUCUCUCGGUGGACAAGCACGCCUAGUUUACAUGGUUCUGCAGCUGCCCCAAGCACUUGGGUUAUAAAUGUGAGGUGUCAGAGUGUCUUAUGACUACCCAGAUCAGUUCUGUCAUAGUUCUGUGUAUUCCAGAGAGAGAGGCCUUUUCUUCCAGAGACUUCCAGUGACUGCUGGUUUUUCAUAUACAUGACCUCAGAGCCUAAAUUACAGAGAAACUAGGUGGGUUUCUGGGAGAUAAUUUUUUUUCAAUGAGUUUGUUGGGGCUGUAUCUAUACUCUCUUAACACUAUAAAAACAUAUUUAACCUGUUGGCUGCCUCUCUUCCUUGCAGAGGACCAAGAAGCCUUCCCCACUCAGCUAUGAGCAGUGAGAGGAAAAGCAGAGGAAAUACACUCGGAUCCAAGUGCCCCUGGCCCUCAUGACCCGACCCCUGGAAAAGCAUCUGAGUUACCCGACAUCCUGGUCAGCAGGAGCUGGGCUGGAGACUGGAUGCUGCAGCUUCAGAGACUCAGCACCUAGGAAGGCUCCUGUGCAGGGAGAAAGGCAGAGAUGCGACAUUUUUAAAGUUUCACAAAACACGAGGCAGCACCCAGGUCCCUGGAUCAGGAGACACACAGAAUUAAUGUUUUAUACCUUCGGGUAUAGGUUUGAGUUUUUUCCCCCUCAUGCCAAGUAUUUAAAACCUCUAGAAACCCAUGAUUUGACAAUCAAUGAUUGCGCGAUACUUUCAAUUUGAAUAUUCAAAGGCUUAACAAAAUGGACUAUCUUCUGCAGAAAUCCUGCACACAGGCACCUCACAGAGAGUCCAGAGAAACAGAGAGGGAGAUCCCUUUGGGUCCUGACCCUUGCUUUUCUCCUAU
rnacentral:lncRNA from 1 species